GGAGGAGCCGCCUGAGGAGCCGGAGGAGCCGGAGGAGCAGCCGGCGGAGCAGCCCUUCGGCUCCUACGAGCAGUACCUGGAGGCGCAGGUGACGCCGAGGGACCUCUACUACCUGGAGAGCGAGGAGGUGGCACGGCAGCUGGCAAGGCUCGGCUUCAUCGGCUCCAAGGAUGUGCUGCAGCGGGAGGAGUUUGAGGCCCAGCAGGCAGCGGCAGCGGCACUCAUGGCAUCAGCCUCUCAGAAACCAUCUCUAAAUGCGGAUGAGGUUCCUGGUGGUUCUUUUUGUUGUCCUGAAUGACAGAGGUGGGAUAAUCUCACAUUCCUGAAAAGUUUCCUGUAAUUUCUGUGAUAUUGAUGUUAGAGAGGAGCUGUGUUUUUUCAUCUGAAAAAUCCUAAAAUAAGUUAAACUCUGGCUGACAUCAGUGCCUGUCUCUUUAAAUGAAGAAAGGACAGGAAAAAACUGUUACUCCUCUCAACUGCACAUACAGUUUUGCCUUCCAGUGCUAUAAGUCCCUCUUCUUACUGAAGACACUGUUGCAGCAAUAGGUUGCAACUACUUUUGUGUUUUGAAGCUUGGAUCCCACUGCAUGGACUUGAUGACAUCCUUAGCUACAUUUUACGUGGGAUUAAUGCUUCUGCUUAUGUAGGGGCUACUCUGCUUUCGUGUGUAUAUGAAGUGACUUUGGAAUUGCACCUGAGUCUUCACUACCUCUAGGAUUUAGUUUUAAACAACACAAAUAAAACUGCACAUUGCUUUAAUUUCA
rnacentral:lncRNA from 1 species